rnacentral:lncRNA from 1 species
CUCAAGGAAAUAUUGGGAAAUUUCAGGCAGUCCAGAUGAGAAAUUUUGCUUGUUGAAAAGUGAGAAAUUUUUGUUCUUUUGAAAUCUUAAACUCUUCCGCACCUUAAAAAACCCAUGAAUUUUUUAAAAGUAAGAAUCACAACAAUUUUUUGGAUCUUGUUUGCUAGCCAUUUGAAGUUGUUAAUGACUUAAUUCUAGAAGUUGCCAUGUAAACUUAGUAUCAUACACUGUAU